AGGUGGAACACCUGUACAUGCUGGUCUGCCAGGCACUGGACUGCAUCUCCAACAAAAAGAAGCAGAAACUCCCCAGCUCCCUGGGCCCCGACGGCCGCGACGCCGACGCCACCUUCACGGACAAGGAGGUGGAGCUCCUGUCCCUGGAUGACAUCCCAGAAACCAGCCAGGCCAAGGUGGACACGAGGAGGAAUCAGCAGAUUUCU